rnacentral:rRNA from 1 species
CCCUUAGAUGUUCUGGGCCGCACGCGCGCUACACUGAUGAAUUCAACGAGUUUUCCACCUUGACCGAGAGGUCCGGGAAAUCUUUUCAACUUUCAUCGUGCUGGGGAUAGAUUAUUGCAAUUGUUAAUCUUGAACGAGGAAUUCCUAGUAAGCGCGAGUCAUCAGCUCGCGUUGAUUACGUCCCUGCCCUUUGUACACACCGCCCGUCGCUACUACCGAUUGAGUGAUCCGGUGAAUAAUUCGGACUGCAGCAGUGUUCAGUUCCUGAACGUUGCAGCGGAAAGUUUAGUGAACCUUAUCACUUAGAGGAAGGAGAAGUCGUAACA